GAUGAACGCUAGCUACAGGCUUAACACAUGCAAGUCGAGGGGCAGCAUGAUUGAAGCUUGCUUCAAUCGAUGGCGACCGGCGCACGGGUGAGUAACACGUAUCCAACCUGCCGAUAACUCGGGGAUAGCCUUUCGAAAGAAAGAUUAAUACCCGAUAGUAUAGUAUUUCCGCAUGGUUUCACUAUUAAAGAACUUCGGUUAUCGAUGGGGAUGCGUUCCAUUAGAUAGUUGGCGGGGUAACGGCCCACCAAGUCAACGAUGGAUAGGGGUUCUGAGAGGAAGGUCCCCCACAUUGGAAAUGAGACAAGAUCCAAACGCCUACGGGAGGCAGCAGUGAGGAAUAUUGGUCAAUGGACGAGAGUCUGUACCAGCCAAGUAGCGUGAAGGAUGACUGCCCUAUGAGUUGUAAACUUCUUUUAUACGGGAAUAAAGUGGAGUAUGCAUACUCCUUUGUAUGUACCGUAUGAAUAAGGAUCGGCUAACUCCGUG
rnacentral:rRNA from 1 species